GCCCCCUCUGAUCCCGGAACCCACAGUCAUGACAUCUCUACAUCUAUAUGAAAUGUUUCUACGACUCCUAAGCUGUUUACUAAGAAAGAAGUGAUUCUCAUAUUUGUGUCUUCAUGCAGCAGUGAAGUCGUGCUGUGUUUGUUUGUUUACAAUCAGAGAUGACUGUAAACAUUAGAAACCCUGUGUGUACGCUGUAUUCUGAAUGAGCUUCAAACACGUCAAAGAAGCGAUAGCAUCAUAUGCCUCACGCCUUCAUCAGAUAACGGAACAUUUGAUAUAAGACCUUAUUUGUUUUAUUUCUCACCAUGUUUGAGUCUGAAAUGGAACAGAUUUUUAUUUAGUUCUUGGUUGUAGUCUGCCACUUUCACACCUGGACAGGUACUACAGAUAUAAAUUAGACUUCUGGUUAAUCUUAAAGAGUAUUUUAGUCAAAUGUACUGCCCUUGAAAAAAAAAAAUUAUAUAAAGUAAUAUUAAAUAAACAAAAUAUUAAGGCACCAGUAGUGUUAAGUGCGCUUACCCCAUGUACGGAGGCUGUAGUCCUACAAGCGGGUGACCCGGGUUCAAAUCUGACCUGUGGCUCCUCUCCUGCAUGUUUGUCCCCUCUCUCUACAAUUUCUAACACUAUCCUGUCAUAUCUCUAAAUAAAGCAUAAAACAUGUUUAAAAAAAAUAUAUAUAUACACAGUAUUGUCGUAUAAAGAAUGAUACUCUGCAAGAAACUCAAAUCUAAGCGAGUGUUUGUCUAACAUCUAGUCUAGAUAAACGAUUUGAAUAUCUCAUUUGAAAGGAGCAGGAAAUGUCAGAUUUUGUACUUAUUACAAGCAGUACAGGCCUGAUUUUAUUUAGUAAUAUCCUGUCAUGAGGUCUUUAUCUGAACUUGUCAGAUGAAUCUGGUUUAUCCUAAGGGUAAUGAGGUAUUCACUUCAAAUGUAAACUGUUAAGAUUGGACUUUCUUUUGCAGUGCAGUGGGAGAUUGAUGUGCAUGUAAAUGUUUCUACUGGCAUUGGGCUUCAACAUUUAAUCUGAAAAUCAUGAAUCAAAUCUCAAGCCCCGCCUUUAAAUGGAAGGUCAAAUGAAAAACAUUGAUCUGGAGGUUUUCCUCUCUCCUAUGUAUGAACAGCUGUGAGUUGGGUUGUGCUGUUUACAAAACGUCUUGUAUGUGACUUAGUGGAGUUUAUUUUAUAUCCAGAAUGAUUGACUUGUUUUGCACUUUUAGCCCAACGCGUUGUUUCAGUAAACUGGGCUUCAAGGGAGGAUGCUGAUGUGCAUUAAACAGCUUUAAGUGUUUUGAUUAUGUGUGGUGGGUAUCUAAUAAAGAUUUAUUUUAAAGAC